rnacentral:lncRNA from 1 species
UAAGAGGCAAUGUCAGAGAGCACCAGGCAGGACUGUUCAACUAAAAAAAAUUAAUUUGGUCAAACAUAUAUUUUACCCUUUCAGUAUAACAUACUGACUGGGAAAAUAUAAUUUUUUUUUUUAAAUUUGUGAAUUUGACAUUUUUUUUUAAUGAAAUUCAAUAUAAGGGCUCAAACUGCUAAUUUUCAUUGAAAUGUAUAGGGAAAAAGCCAGUUUCUAACCGUUUUCAAUGAUCCAUCAUCGGAGAAAAACAACACUUAUGACUAAACUACCUGUAUGGAAGUCUAGUAUUAUGUUGGUGUAAAAAAUAAUGAAAAUAAAAUUUUGGGUAUCUUUUGGAUUUUUUUCUAAAAAUAAGGUAAAAAAAUGCUAAAAUAAGGAAAAUUGAGAAUAUUGAGAAAAGCCAGUUUCUAACUGUUUUCAAUUAUCCGUCAUCGGAGAAAAACAGCAGAUAUGACUAAACUACCUAUAUGGAAGUCUAGUACUAUGUUGGUGUUAAAAAUAAUAAAAAUAAAAUUUUUGGUAUCUCUUUGAUUUUUUUCAAAAAAUAAGGUAAAAAAAUGCUAAAAUAAGGAAAAUUGAAAAAAAAAAACCAGUUUCCAACCGUUUUCAAUUAUUCAUUACCAGAGGAAAACACCACUUAUGACUAAAUUACCUAUAUGGAAGUCUAGUUCUAUGUUGGUGUAAAACAUAAUGGAAAUAAAACUUUU